rnacentral:rRNA from 1 species
UGCCAGACUCCUACGGGAGGCAGCAGUGGGGAAUAUUGGUCAAUGGGCGGAAGCCUGAACCAGCCAAGUCGCGUGAGGGAAGAAGGCCCUGCGGGUCGCAGACCUCUUUGGACGGGGAGCAAGGCCGCCGACGUGUCGGCGGAAGGAGAGCACCCGUAGAACAAGCAUCGGCUAACUCCGUGCCAGCAGCCGCGGUAAUACGGAGGAUGCGAGCGUUAUCCGGAUUUAUUGGGUUUAAAGGGUGCGCAGGCGGAGGCACAAGUCAGGGGUAAAGUCGGGGGGCUCAACCCCGCUCCGCCGUUGAAACUGUGUCCCUUGAGUGCGCGAAGGGUAGGCGGAAUGCGUGGUGUAGCGGUGAAAUGCAUAGAUAUCACGCAGAACCCCGAUUGCGAAGGCAGCAUGCCGGCGUCCGACUGACGCUGAAGCACGAAAGCGUGGGGAUCGAACAGGAUUAGAUACCCUUGUAAA